CCUACGGGAGGCAGCAGUAGGGAAUUUUCGUCAAUGGGCGCAAGCCUGAACGAGCGAUGCCGCGUGCAUGAAGAAGGCCUUCCGGUCUGUAAGCUCUUUUUCUGGGGAAAUAACGCAGCAUCAGUGAAUGGGUUCUGACUGAUCGUACGCCUCCAGAAAGUCACGUCUAACUACGUCCCAGCAGCCGCGGUAAUACGUAGGUGGCUAGCGUUAUCCGGAUUGAUUUGGCGUAAAGGGUGCGCAGGCGGUCCUACAAGUCUGGAGUGAAAUGCAUGAGCUCAACGCAGGCAUGGCUUGGGAAACUGGAGGACGGGAGAGCAGGAGAGGGAGGUGGAACUCGAUGUGUAGCGGUAAAAUGCUUAGAUAUAUGGAAGAACACCAGUGGCGAAGGCGGCCGCCUGGACUGUUGCUGACGCUGAGGCACGAAAGCGUGGGGAGCAAAUAGGAUUAGAUACCCUAGUAGUC
rnacentral:rRNA from 1 species